rnacentral:rRNA from 1 species
AGUGAACGCUGGCGGUAGGCCUAACACAUGCGAGUCGAACGGCAGCACAGUAAGAGCUUGCUCUUACGGGUGGCGAGUGGCGGACGGGUGAGGAAUACAUCGGAAUCUACUUUUUCGUGGGGGAUAACGUAGGGAAACUUACGCUAAUACCGCAUACGACCUACGGGUGAAAGCAGGGGAUCUUCGGACCUUGCGCGAUUGAAUGAGCCGAUGUCGGAUUAGCUAGUUGGCGGGGUAAAGGCCCACCAAGGCGACGAUCCGUAGCUGGUCUGAGAGGAUGAGCGGCAACACUGGAACUGAGACACGGUCCAGACUCCUACGGGAGGCAGCGGGGGGGAAUAUUGGACAAUGGGCGAAAGCCUGAUCAAGCCAGACCGCGUGGGUGAAGAAGGCCUUCGGGUGGUAAAGCCCUUUUGUUGGGAAAGAAAAGAAGCAGGUUAAUACCCCGCUGUUCGGACGGUACCCAAAGAAUAAGCACCGGCUAACUUCGU